GAUGAAGAACGCAGCUAAAUGCGAUAAGUAAUGUGAAUUGCAGAAUUCAGUGAAUCAUCGAAUCUUUGAACGCACAUUGCGCCCGCCAGUAUUCUGGCGGGCAUGCCUGUUCGAGCGUCAUUUCAACCAUCAAGCCCCCGGCUUGUGUUGGGGACCUGCGGCUGCCGCAGGCCCUGAAAACCAGUGGCGGGCUCGCUAGUCACUCCGAGCGUAGUAAUACAUCUCGCUCAGGGCGUGCUGCGGGUUCCGGCCGUUAAAAAGCCUUAUUUACCCAAGGUUGACCUCGGAUCAGGUAGGAAGACCCGCUGAACUUAAGCAUAUCAAUAAGCGGAGGA
rnacentral:misc_RNA from 1 species